rnacentral:rRNA from 1 species
AAUUUGGAUUAAGACCACAUGGUACUAUAUUACGGCAUCGUAUUUAUAGUUAAAGGUUACGGUAGGGGAUGAGUAUGCGUCCCAUUAGUUAGUUGGCGAGGUAACGGCUCACCAAGACCGCGAUGGGUAGGGGCCCUGAGAGGGGGAUCCCCCACACUGGUACUGAGACACGGACCAGACUCCUACGGGAGGCAGCAGUGAGGAAUAUUGGACAAUGGACGAGAGUCUGAUCCAGCCAUGCCGCGUGCAGGAAGAAUGCCCUAUGGGUAGUAAACUGCUUUUAUACGGGAAGAAAAAGGGGCACGUGUGCCCCACUGACGGUACCGUAAGAAUAAGGACCGGCUAACUCCGUGCCAGCAGCCGCGGUAAUACGGAGGGUCCGAGCGUUAUCCGGAAUUAUUGGGUUUAAAGGGUCCGUAGGCGGGCCGAUAAGUCAGUGGUGAAAGUUUGCAGCUCAACUGUAAAAUUGCCUUUGAUACUGUCGGUCUUGAGUUAUAGUGAAGUUGCCGGAAUAUGUAGUGUAGCGGUGAAAUGCAUAGAUAUUACAUAGAACACCGAUUGCGAAGGCAGGUGACUAACUAUAUACUGACGCUGAUGGACGAAAGCGUGGGGAGCGAACAGGAUUAGAUACCCUGGUAGUCCACGCCGUAAACGAUGGAUACUAGCUGUCCGGGUCCUUGAGACCUGGGCGGCCAAGCGAAAGUGAUAAGUAUCCCACCUGGGGAGUACGUUCGCAAGAAUGAAACUCAAAGGAAUUGACGGGGGCCCGCACAAGCGGUGGAGCAUGUGGUUUAA